rnacentral:rRNA from 2 species
AAAAUUUAAAUUUAAAAUACUAAAAUAGUAAAUAAAAUAUUUGUUGAAACUUAAAUAAUUUGGCGGUAUUUUAGUUCAUUUAGAGGAAUCUGUUUAAUAAUUGAUAUUCCACGAAUAAAUUUACUUAAUUUAUAAUUUUGUAUAUCGUUGUUAAAAAAAUAUUUUUUAAUAAGAUUAAUAUUUAAAAAUUAAAAUAUAAAUUUAAAUCAGAUCAAGAUGCAGAUUAUAAUUAAGAAUAUAAUGGAUUACAAUAAAUUUAUUUAAAUGGAUUUUAAUUUUUAAUAGAUAAUUGAAAGUGGAUUUAAAUGUAAUUUUAUUUAAUUUAAUAAAAUGAUUAAAAAUUAAAAUAUGU